rnacentral:lncRNA from 1 species
UACUUCAAUUGACUUCCAAUUCUCCCAAUUCUCCGACGUUGUUUAUCACGAGUGAGAUCCCUAGUCUCACUUGAAUUUGGUAAUACUCUUUUUUGCAGACGUCCCAUUCUUUUGAGUACUGUAUAACUUGACUUCCUUAUUCGAACCAUAUUAUCUCAGUUUGAAUAUUGAAUUACGGUGAACCAAAUAUUCGGGAGUUCUUUUGUUCACUCCUUAUCAUUCCAAUGAAUUCAAUUUUGAUUCGUUG